ACAUCGACAUAUAUCGCCACUCGCCGUAACAGAUCGCGACGAACAUCGGGCGUAUUCGGCCUGUACAGGAUGUUGCUAUUUUUAGAAACAGAAGGUAUUUCCCGGCUAUUCAUAGGUCAAUAAUGGAAUUUCUACAUCGUAGGAUUUGGAAACAUUGUGAUGUUUUCUCAUGAAUAUACGUUUAAAAUAAAUAAACACUAAAAGUACACGCUGACUGUUGAUUACGAUACAUCUAACAAUUUGAGUCAUUACAGUUAAACAUGGAUUAUAAGUGAAAUAUACGCGUAAGAGAAGAUUUUCUCUCGAAAAAACGAACUGUCAACAAUCGGCAUGGAACUGGGAUAUUCGUAUCAAAGGGCUCUGAAUGCAGGAAAAUGACUGAAUAUUACUUAGUCAACAACACUGGGUUAUGAAGAAUUCCAGCCUGCAUUAAAUACUAUGUUGGAUCCUUGAGAGCGGAUUUAACAGCCAUGUCCAUCCACAAGGCAGUCGCAUCUGAUCGAGAUGAUCACUAAACAUUCUUGAUGGGUAAAGUACCUGAAGGUGCAUGAAAACCAAAUCAGCAUUGACUCAGCAUUGAGUUAUCAUCUGUGCACACACUACAAGUACAAAGCAUGGGAACAGACCAAACUUCAAAUGUUGAAGA